CCACUGCUAUCGGGAUAGGACUAAGACAUGCUAGUUGAGCGCUUCCAGCCAAUACGGGAGCGCAGCGCACAGCUCAGUAACACGUGGCUAAUCUGCCCUUGGGACCGGAACACCCCCGGGAAACUGGGGCUAAUUCUCGAUAGGUGAAGAACUCUGGAAUGAGUCUUUGCCAAAAAGACGUUUACGUUAUGCUCGUAGGCGUCGCCCAAGGAUGAGGCCGUGACCGAUCAGGUUGUUGGUGAGGUAAUGGCUCACCAAGCCUUUUACCGGUGCGGGCCGUGAGAGCGGGAGCCCGGAGAUGGGCACUGAGACAAGGGCCCAGGCCCUACGGGGCGCAGCAGUCGCGAAAACUUUGCAAUACACGAAAGUGUGACAGGGCUAUCCCGAGUGCCAUCCGCUGAGGAAGGCUUUUACCCAGUCUAGAACGCUGGGGGAAUAAGGAGAGGGCAAGUCUGGUGUCAGCCGCCGCGGUAAUACCAGCUCUCCGAGUGGUGUGGAUGUUUAUUGGGCCUAAAGCAUCCGUAGCUGGCUGAGUUAGUCCCUUGUUAAAUCCACCGAAUUAAUCGUUGGAUUGCGGGGGAUACUGCUCGGCUAGGGGACGAGAGAGGCAGACGGUAUUUCUGGGGUAGGGGUGAAAUCCUAUAAUCCCAGGAGGACCACCAGUGGCGAAGCUGUCUGCUAGAACGCGCCCGACGGUGAGGGAUGAAAGCUGGGGGAGCGAACCGGAUUAGAUACCCGGGUAGUCCCAGCUGUAAACGAU
rnacentral:rRNA from 1 species